GUUUGACGCUACACUUCCUGUUACACACUCUUUUCCAUGUGGUGCUCACGCAUCGUCGGAGCGAAGAGCUCCAACUGUGAGGACGUCAGGCUAGAAAGCAUGCUAGCUAAUGGACAGACACUUGAUUAGCGCCCUUGGAGAGCGGAAUAAGUUUUCACGGUGUUCAUAUGGUGCCUGGUGCUCCUUAAGAGGAAGAAUAAAUUGACACCCGUUUGAAACUCUCUGCGUCCGAGUCCAUAAAUCCGAGGGGCCGCUACAGUGACCAUUGUGAUUGGUUUAAAGAAAUGCAAACAACCCCGAGAGUUAUUUUCUCCUAUCCUGAAAUGUAUGUGUGGUAGAGCCAGACCUUACUGUGCGGGGCUGUGGAGUAGGGUCUGCCAAUGUCGAGGCCCAAGUGAUUUAGUAGGUUAUUAAAAACACUCCUGACUUAAGUGAUGAGAAGAAAUUGAACUGGUGCGUUUUUACAGUAUUGCGGUAAUACAGAUCUGAGAAAACGUCUUCUGCUAGUGAAUUACGGACAAAGUUGCUGUUAUAUCUUAACAGAUUUUAGUAGAGAACAGUCAGAAUAAACAACUUAAUAUCUGAAUCCAUCUGCACUUGAGGGGGUAACAAUCCAUACAUUUCUGCAUGCAAACGCCUUGCACCGAAUGCAUUUUAUGCCUGUCAACUUGGAAUAGAUGGAAAGGGUUAUAACUCAUUUCAAUGUGAAAAUAGUACUGAGGUCAGUAGUGUUCGCACACAUGGUGUGUGAUAUAGCAAAACGCACAAUGUUAGCAAAUGACUGUAUUUAAUACUCAUGAAGACAUAAAGAACAAAGACUAUGAAGAACUUCAAAACAUGAAGACCAAAAAAAGAAACUACAAAAAGAAGAUUCCAGGACAAGUGCGGCAGAGGGUAUGAGACAAAGAGAGUAGAGCUGUCGGACCUGACCCACUUCAAACCCUGUCUGGAGUGAAAUCUAUUCAUUGUGAAUUAACAGGACCAGACACAAUCUGCUGGAGACGGCGUCAGAUAAGUAGACAGAGAGAGACACUGAUUGACUUUUAUUGUGUUACCUCAGCUUUUGAAGCAUGACUGAGCACCUUUGACC